AGCGAACGCUGGCGGCGUGCCUAACACAUGCAAGUCGAACGAGAAAGGGAGCAAUCCCAAGUAAAGUGGCUUACGGGUGAGUAACACGUAAGUAAUCUACCCCAGAAUCUGGAAUAACCGGCCGCAAGGCUGGCUAAUACUGGAUAGAGCGACGGAUUCCGUAAUUGGGUUUUUCGUGGAAGGGAGCCUGUAUGAAGGCAUUCGUUCUUGGAUCAGCCUGCGUCCCGUCAGGUAGUUGGUUAGGUAAAAGCUUACCAAGGGAAAGACGGGUAGCUGGACUGGGAGGACGAUUAGCCAACCUUGAACUGAAACACCGGCCAGACUCCUAAGGGAAGCAGCAGUGGGGAAUUCUUCGCAAAGGACGAAAGGCUGAAGCAGCAACGCCGCGUGAGUGAAGAAGGGCUUCGGGUUGUAAAGACCUUGCGAGUGGGACGAAAAUGCUUGGAGUUCACAGCUCCAGGAACUGACGGUACCACUAAAGGAAGCACCGGCUAACUCCGUG
rnacentral:rRNA from 1 species